rnacentral:rRNA from 1 species
GACGUAGGGCGCGAGCGUUGUCCGGAUUUAUUGGGCGUAAAGAGCUCGUAGGCGGCUUGUUGCGUCGACUGUGAAAACCUGCGGCUCAACCGUGUGGUCUGCAGUCGAUACGGGCAGGCUGGAGUUCGGUGAGGGGAGACUGGAAGUUCCUGGUGUAGCGGUGAAAUGCGCAGAUAUCAGGAGGAACACCGGUGGCGAAGGCGGGUCUCUG